UCAUCUUCGGGGGUAGAGCACUGUUUCGGCUAGGGGGUCAUCCCGACUUACCAACCCGAUGCAAACUACGAAUACCGAAGAAUGUUAUCACGGGAGACACACGGCGGGUGCUAACGUCCGUCGUGAAGAGGGAAACAACCCAGACCGCCAGCUAAGGUCCCAAAGUCAUGGUUAAGUGGGAAACGAUGUGGGAAGGCCCAGACAGCCAGGAUGUUGGCUUAGAAGCAGCCAUCAUUUAAAGAAAGCGUAAUAGCUCACUGGUCGAGUCGGCCUGCGCGGAAGAUGUAACGGGGCUAAACCAUGCACCGAAGCUGCGGCAGCGACGCUUAUGCGUUGUUGGGUAGGGGAGCGUUCUGUAAGCCGUUGAAGGUGGCCUGUGAGGGUUGCUGGAGGUAUCAGAAGUGCGAAUGCUGACAUAAGUAACGAUAAUGCGGGUGAAAAACCCGCACGCCGGAAGACCAAGGGUUCCUGUCCAACGUUAAUCGGGGCAGGGUGAGUCGACCCCUAAGGCGAGGCCGAAAGGCGUAGUCGAUGGGAAACAGGUUAAUAUUCCUGUACUUGGUGUUGCUGCGAAGGGGGGACGGAGAAGGCUAUGUUGGCCGGGCGACGGUUGUCCCGGUUUAAGCAUGUAGGCGGAUGUUCCAGGUAAAUCCGGAACGUUAUUAACGCUGAGGUGUGAUGACGAGGCACUACGGUGCUGAAGUGACAAAUGCCCUGCUUCCAGGAAAAGCCUCUAAGCAUCAGGUAACAUCAAAUCGUACCCCAAACCGACACAGGUGGUCAGGUAGAGAAUACCAAGGCGCUUGAGAGAACUCGGGUGAAGGAACUAGGCAAAAUGGUGCCGUAACUUCGGGAGAAGGCACGCUGAUGGUAGGUGAAGUGACUUGCUCGUGGAGCUGAAAUCAGUCGAAGAUACCAGCUGGCUGCAACUGUUUAUUAAAAACACAGCACUGUGCAAACACGAAAGUGGACGUAUACGGUGUGACGCCUGCCCGGUGCCGGAAGGUUAAUUGAUGGGGUUAUCCUUGCGGAGAAGCUCUUGAUCGAAGCCCCGGUAAACGGCGGCCGUAACUAUAACGGUCCUAAGGUAGCGAAAUUCCUUGUCGGGUAAGUUCCGACCUGCACGAAUGGCGUAAUGAUGGCCAGGCUGUCUCCACCCGAGACUCAGUGAAAUUGAACUCGCUGUGAAGAUGCAGUGUACCCGCGGCAAGACGGAAAGACCCCGUGAACCUUUACUAUAGCUUGACACUGAACACUGGUCCUUGAUGUGUAGGAUAGGUGGGAGGCUUUGAAGUGUGGACGCCAGUCUGCAUGGAGCCGUCCUUGAAAUACCACCCUUUAAUGGCUGGUGUUCUAACGUGGGCCCGUGAUCCGGGUUGCGGACAGUGUCUGGUGGGUAGUUUGACUGGGGCGGUCUCCUCCUAAAGAGUAACGGAGGAGCACGAAGGUCAGCUAAUCCUGGUCGGACAUCAGGAGGUUAGUGCAAUGGCAUAAGCUGGCUUGACUGCGAGCGUGACGGCGCGAGCAGGUGCGAAAGCAGGUCAUAGUGAUCCGGUGGUUCUGAAUGGAAGGGCCAUCGCUCAACGGAUAAAAGGUACUCCGGGGAUAACAGGCUGAUACCGCCCAAGAGUUCAUAUCGACGGCGGUGUUUGGCACCUCGAUGUCGGCUCAUCACAUCCUGGGGCUGAAGUAGGUCCCAAGGGUAUGGCUGUUCGCCAUUUAAAGUGGUACGCGAGCUGGGUUUAGAACGUCGUGAGACAGUUCGGUCCCUAUCUGCCGUGGGCGCUGGAGAAUUGAGGGGGGCUGCUCCUAGUACGAGAGGACCGGAGUGGACGCAUCACUGGUGUUCGGGUUGUCAUGCCAAUGGCAUUGCCCGGUAGCUAAAUGCGGAAGAGAUAAGUGCUGAAAGCAUCUAAGCACGAAACUUGCCCCGAGAUGAGUUCUCCCUGACCCUUUAAGGGUCCUGAAGGAACGUUGAAGACGACGACGUUGAUAGGCCGGGUGUGUAAGCGCAGCGAUGCGUUGAGCUAACCGGUACUAAUGAACCGUGAGGCUUAACCUU
rnacentral:rRNA from 1 species